rnacentral:rRNA from 1 species
UGAAUACGAGACGCUAAGGCGUCGAAGUAGUGUAUGUCAUACUUCCAAGAAAAGCUUGCACUGUCAUAGAUAAAAAACGCCUGUACCAUAACCGACACAGGUGGGUAGGUAGAGUAUACUAAGGGGCGCGAGAUAACUCUCUCUAAGGAACUCGGCAAAAUAACUCCGUAACUUCGGGAGAAGGAGUGCCUUAUUCGUAAGGUUGCAAUAACAAGAUCCAAGCAACUGUUUAUCAAAAACACAGGUCUCCGCUAAGUCGUAAGACGAUGUAUAGGGGCUGACGCCUGCCCAGUGCCAGAAGGUUAAAGAAGUUGGUUAGCAAUUGCGAAGCUGAUAACUGAAGCCCUGGUGAACGGCGGCCGUAACUAUAACGGUCCUAAGGUAGCGAAAUUCCUUGUCGGGUAAGUUCCGACCCGCACGAAAGGCGUAAUGAUUUGGAUACUGUCUCGGAGAGGGGCUCGGUGAAAUAGACUUGUCUGUGAAGAUGCGGACUACCUGCACCAGGACAGAAAGACCCUAUGAAGCUUUACUGUAACUUGAGAUUGAAAUUGGACUUUAUUCGCGCAGUAUAGGUGGGAGGCGUUGAUUAUAAUCUUGUGGGAUUAUUGGAGCCAUCAGUGAGAUACCACUCUUGUAAUGUUAGAUUUCUAACUUUGAAUCAUUAUCUGGUCAAAGAACAGUUUCAGGCGGGCAGUUUGACUGGGGCGGUCGCCUCCUAAACGGUAACGGAGGCGUACAAAGGUUUCCUCUGAACGGUUAGAAAUCGUAUCUAGAGUGUAAAGGCAUAAGGAAGCUUGACUGUGAGACCUACAAGUCGAGCAGGGACGAAAGUCGGUCUUAGUGAUCUGACGGUACUGAGUGGAAAGGCCGUCACUCAACGGAUAAAAGUUACUCUAGGAUAACAGGCUGAUCUCCCCCAAGAGUUCACAUCGACGGGGAGGUUUGGCACCUCGAUGUCGGCUCAUCGCAUCCUGGGGCGGUAGUACGUCCCAAGGGUUGGGCUGUUCGCCCAUGAAAGCGGUACGCGAGCUGGGUUCAGAACGUCGUGAGACAGUUCGGUCCAUAUCCGGUGUAGGCGUUAGAAUAUUGAGAGGAGCCUUCUUUAGUACGAGAGGACCGAGAAGGACAUACCUCUGGUGUACCAGUUAUCGUGCCAACGGUAAACGCUGGGUAGCUAUGUAUGGAGUGGAUAACCGCUGAAAGCAUCUAAGUGGGAAGCCCACCUCAAGAUAAGUAUUCUCA